CUGUUGGCAACCUUGGCCAAGAGAGCUCUAAGCUGAGACCUGAAGGGGCGGCAUCUUAGCAGUAGCUGCGUCUUCUCUGUGAUUCCAGCUCUCGCCAGACAUGCCUGCUAUGGUCCCAGCUUCCUCCAGUGACUCUAAACCGUGAGCUCCAGUAUCACCACCUCCUUCUGUUGUCCCUCCAGCCUGGGGGCAGUGGUGGCUUCUACCACCAACUCAGAGUGAAGCUCUGAGUUGCUUCACUGUCCUCUGUUGGGCUUAUCAGUUCUUCCAUCACGUGUAUAACAAAUUCUCUGCGUCAAAUUCCCUCUCCUUUAAAUACUUAGAGUUGUUCUGUUCUCCUGGUUGAGCCCUGCCUGAUCUAUGUAAUGUUAAUGAAGAGGGAUCAUGUAUGAACACUUUUGUUUUUUAAACUGAGGAUGGCCACUUUCUGAAAGAAGGUAACAAAGAAUCAGAAGUUGAAGUUUGCCUUGGAGUUGUGGCAGGAGGGGAUGAACCUGAGCUUUCCUGGACCUGAAAUGAAUGGGUUCAGGGAAAGACAUGGAAGACCUGGAGGCAACAGUGGGCGAUGGAGAGAGGGCCAUUCCUGUCGAAUCAGCUGAGCGGCAGGAUCACAGACCCUGCAGGUUUGCUGCCUGCUCAGCAGGACAAAGAAAGCAGAGGGAGGAAGAUGAAAGCCAAGCCAACCAGAAGAAGGGAAACUCAAAGAAGCUCAUGGAAAAGGGGGAGGAGACUGUGCUUAAGCGAUCAGGGUAGUGGGAGGUGGACAGUGCCCCAAGCAUGUGCUGUUUCCGUUGUCCAGAUGGUGUCAUUUGCCCUGCAAAACAAGUAACAGCAACAUAAUUUGGAUGCUCAGAAAUAAAUGUGUGAGUAAGCACUUGGGAAAUGAUGCCCGCAGCCGUUAUACUUAAACAGAAGAGAUUC
rnacentral:lncRNA from 1 species